rnacentral:rRNA from 1 species
AACGCGAAGAACCUUACCAAGUCUUGACAUCCCUCUGAAUCCAUUAGAGAUAGUGGCGGCCUUCGGGACAGAGGAGACAGGUGGUGCAUGGUUGUCGUCAGCUCGUGUCGUGAGAUGUUGGGUUAAGUCCCGCAACGAGCGCAACCCUUGAUUUUAGUUGUCAGCAGGUAAGGCUGGGCACUCUAGAAUGACUGCCGGUGACAAACCGGAGGAAGGCGGGGAUGACGUCAAAUCAUCAUGCCCCUUAUGACUUGGGCUACACACGUACUACAAUGGUCGAUACAACGGGAAGCGAAAGAGCGAUCUGGAGCCAAUCCUAUCAAAGUCGAUCUCAGUUCGGAUUGCAGGCUGCAACCCGCCUGCAUGAAGUCGGAAUUGCUAGUAAUCGCGGAUCAGCAUGCCGCGGUGAAUACGUUCCCGGGCCUUGUACACACCGAUAGC